rnacentral:rRNA from 1 species
GCUCCACCGAAAGAAAAAGAGUGGCGAACGGGUGAGUAACACGUGGGUAACCUGCCCAUCAGAAGGGGAUAACACUUGGAAACAGGUGCUAAUACCGUAUAACACUAUUUUCCGCAUGGAAGAAAGUUGAAAGGCGCUUUUGCGUCACUGAUGGAUGGACCCGCGGUGCAUUAGCUAGUUGGUGAGGUAACGGCUCACCAAGGCAACGAUGCAUAGCCGACCUGAGAGGGUGAUCGGCCACACUGGGACUGAGACACGGCCCAGACUCCUACGGGAGGCAGCAGUAGGGAAUCUUCGGCAAUGGACGAAAGUCUGACCGAGCAACGCCGCGUGAGUGAAGAAGGUUUUCGGAUCGUAAAACUCUGUUGUUAGAGAAGAACAAGGAUGAGAGUAGAACGUUCAUCCCUUGACGGUAUCUAACCAGAAAGCCACGGCUAACUACGUGCCAGCAGCCGCGGUAAUACGUAGGUGGCAAGCGUUGUCCGGAUUUAUUGGGCGUAAAGCGAGCGCAGGCGGUUUCUUAAGUCUGAUGUGAAAGCCCCCGGCUCAACCGGGGAGGGUCAUUGGAAACUGGGAGACUUGAGUGCAGAAGAGGAGAGUGGAAUUCCAUGUGUAGCGGUGAAAUGCGUAGAUAUAUGGAGGAACACCAGUGGCGAAGGCGGCUCUCUGGUCUGUAACUGACGCUGAGGCUCGAAAGCGUGGGGAGCGAACAGGAUUAGAUACCCUGGUAGUCCACGCCGUAAACGAUGAGUGCUAAGUGUUGGAGGGUUUCCGCCCUUCAGUGCUGCAGCAA